AGACUGUCGUCAAGCACUUUUAGUAAAAUAGCUAUUCGAACACACCUACUCUGAUUUUGUGAUCCAUUGGAUAGGUAUUUCACUUGACCCCUAUAUUUCAUCUUUUAGUACUGUGAUUUUUUUUUAUGUUGUAAAGUCAACCUGUAGCUUUGCUAUAUAAAAUGAUAGAGUCUGAAGCGAGAUGAUGUAUCAAAUACUCUUGUUUUGUACAUUUUCAAGACAAAAUAUUCAUCUCAAACACACCCUAACAUAAAAAAAGGUGCACUCGAUUUUCUCUUUUCAAUACAAUUGUUUCCCAUUUUUUAGAAUAUUUUCUGGAGUUGCAUAAUCGAAGGACAGACAUGGAAAUAACUGACUGAACUAAUAGAUUGAUAUGUUAUAAAAACAAUAUUAAGUCAAUUAAUGUUGAAGGCCAGUUUCUCAGCCUCAUACAAGAAAAAAGUGUAUUUGUCAUGUGAUGUUUUAAAAUUAAGUGUCCUUAAGGGAGCUACCAUUUGAUUUUUAUGGGGGGCUAGGAUGAAAUUUGAAAAAAAUAGGCAGGACAGGAGUUUUGAGUAAAAAAAAAGGCAGGAUGUGACACUUGCAAAAAAAAAGUCAGGACAACAAUUUAGGUAAAAAAAGAGUCAGGAUAAACUAAAAAAAAAAGGCAGGACCGAUAAGAGUGAAAAAUAAAAAGGCAGGACACAGAUUACAGCUAAAAAAAAUGCAGGACAAAAUUUUUCAUCCUAGCCCCCCCCCCCCCAUAAAAAUCAAAUGGUAGUUCCCUAACCCCAGACAUAACGUCCAAUAAAAUCUAAGUAUGAUGUAUACAAGCUGAAGCCCCGCCUAUCUUAAUUACCAUGCUUGAGCAAUUACUGAUACAAACAAAGCAAGCAAGCCUAACAAAGAUUUGUCUUGCUAGCAUUAAUGUAAAAGCUGUAAUA
rnacentral:lncRNA from 1 species